rnacentral:rRNA from 1 species
CCUACGGGUGGCAGCAGUGGGGAAUAUUGCGCAAUGGGCGAAAGCCUGACGCAGCGACGUCGCGUGAGGGAUGAAGGUCUUCGGAUCGUAAACCUCUGUCAGCAGGGAAGAACGGUCACUGUGCUAAUCCGCAGUGAAUUGACGGUACCUGCAAAGGAAGCUCCGGCUAACUACGUGCCAGCAGUCGCGGUAAUACGUAGGGAGCAAGCGUUGUCCGGAAUUACUGGGCGUAAAGGGCGCGUAGGUGGGCGCUUAAGUCAGGUGUGAAAACUCCGGGCUCAACCUGGAGACUGCACUUGAAACUGGGUGUCUUGAGGGCAGGAGAGGAAAGUGGAAUUCCUGGUGUAGCGGUGAAAUGCGUAGAUAUUAGGAGGAACACCAGUGGCGAAGGCGACUUUCUGGACUGUACCUGACGCUGAGGCGCGAAAGCGUGGGUAGCGAACGGGAUUAGAUACCCUAGUAGUC